GGCGGUUUCUUUUUUUUUUGGCCGACAAUUGCAUGCGAUUUGCUAUGUGUUGAGGGAGAAUAGGUGGCAUGUUGGGCUUGUUAGAAAGGCAUGCCGCUAGCGCUUAUUUUCCCGCUAUUUCGUAACAACGGUGUCCAAUUUGGCGUCUACGCUUCACCGAGCUAUCGCCUGGACCGUCGGUAGCGAUGAAAGGUGGAGAGAAAGCUCCUCGUUUCGAGUCGAGUAGACUCAAUGAGCCUCAGCUUGGAGGCCGCCAAAACUCAAAAAACACAAUCACUUUUGAAAAUCUAUUCUAAUGAAAGAUGCUAAAUUUUGUUUAGUAUCUUCGAAUUGUAAGAUGAA
rnacentral:misc_RNA from 1 species